AAGAUGAGAUGUACUACCUUACCUACUGCUUAAGGUUUUAGUAGAAUUCCAAAUAAAACACGUAAAGUGCAGAUUCUGGGUUUCUAGAUUUAUUAGUGUGUUCUACCCUAGAACUAACUGGAACCAACUUUGCAGACAAUGGUAAUAUUCUAUGAACGCUUAUUUCCACUGUCAAUAUUAUCAUGUUUCACUAUUAAUAUGGGUGGGCGAUUAUUUAGUGAGACAGUCUAACAUACAUGGGCCAAAAGGAAAUCUCUAGAUGAUAAGAAAAUUAAGUUAGUGUCAUUUGCGGUCAACUAGGAACACAGUAUGUGGAAAUUUUAAGAAGUCACAAUAAAAACAAGUAUUUGUAUGAUAUUAAAGUGUAUGCCACGCUUUCAAAUACAUUAUCUUAUUAAAUGAGCACACCCACAUGUUUUUACCUGUAGGACCCUUAAGUUAACACAUUUCCAAUUAUACCUCCAAAUCACAGAAAGCAAGUGAAAUCAUGGGCCAAUUAUGAAGUAAGUGCCAUUUUUCCCAUAAAAAAAAAAUGUCCGUCAAGAAUAAACCACUUUAUAGCCCCAUGCCUUUUGAGUUAAACUUUACUAACUAGUCAUCAUACCAGGCAAUUGAUAUGUUUUGUUUGCAUGAAAGGUUAAAUUUCCAAUAAUUACUUGACCUAUUCUCAAAGAAUUCCUUAUAAAAUCCAUGCUUCUAGUAUUUCUCUGGGGAUAUGAGAAUGUGGAUGGUAGGCAGGAAAGUUGUGCUGGUGUUCUCUUUCCUUCUGCAUGGAAUGACCGCUCAAUAUUGUAUGUAAGAACAACGCUGCGCUGACUCCAGAUGGGACCUCCAGGUAAGAGAGGGGGGCGUGUAAUAAAGAAAAGGUCUGCCUAUUGCAAAUGGUAGCAGGGAAGCUAAAUACGAGGGUGUUUUCUUGGUGGUGAGGGGUGGUUCCCUAAGGUACAAGGAUUACGAAAGGCCCUUAAUUGAAUGUACUGCCCACUCUCAAAGUCACGCAGUGCCUCCCAAAGGGCAGACUGCCCGUUAACCUGACUUUUGAAUAUCAAUCGGGGCUCUGGGCUAAAUCUCCACUCUAGUUCACUCAUCUUAAAAAUAGACCCUGUAAGUGGCUUAGGUUAGAAAUAGAGUCACAGAGAUCAUUAGAUCGUUGGGUGAGUCAACUCCUCCACUAGAAGCACUGUUGGGAAGUUAAAACGAAAUCAUGAGCUAGUUAUCACAAGCUUUUCCACCGAACGUUUCAUCUUGACGGAGAAGGGCAAGAGCGCUCAGCGGGACUGGCUGUGCCCGCAUUCUCCCGGCAGCGCCAACUCUAGGGCGUCAGGGCAGCGGCCGCUGCGUCCGGGGCGCUGCAAGGCACGAGUGCAGGCGCGGCGCCGGCGCCCGCCUCUCAGCCCUGCCCCCGCACCGCCGUAAUUGCGGGUUUUAAUUAAGGAGGAGGAGUCCGGUUGCCGACUGAGCCGUAAAAGUGAUUUUUUUUUUUUUUCCCAAGAGGAGACCGGCUUCCUGCAUUAAAGGCUUUCCCCUGCCUCCCCACUCAUUCUUACACCCCCGCGGCCGCUCUCGCGGAGGAGGAGUGAAUACCGGUGCGUACCUCGCUUCCUGUUUGAUUAACUCACGCGCUCGCCUCACGCUUUCUCGGAGCAGCAGGGGAGCGACCGCAGCUCCGCCCCAAGAGGGGGCCCGCGAAACCCAGCCGGGCUAGCCCAAGCGCGGCGCCCUUACCUGCGCCCCCUGCCUCUCGUCGGCGUCCUGUGCGGUGCCCACGGGCCGGCGGCGCCCAGGAAAGGGCCAAGGAGGAAUGCUGCCCGGGAAAUGUGGAGUGUUCCAGGUCGGUCAUUUCCCUCGGAGGGACUCGGGGUGCGCUCCCCCAUUCUGGCGGCGGUUUAGGGAGGCCCGGAGAGGGCGCCUGGGCAGCACGGGGCGCCUCUUCUCGCCUCACGCGUCCUCCCCCCUCCUGCUCGUCAGCGAGCCGAGGGCCUGAACCCUCAGAGUCCUGGCGAGGCUUGGCGGCUUUGUCUGGGCUCACGCGUCUGUUCGGAGCCCACCAGCCCGGAAGGGAACAAAGAGCCUCGACCCCCCCACGCCCAGCCUCCGCCUCUCCACCUCUCCCCCGCGCGCCGUUUAUCACCUUCCCUAAGACCCCUUUGUCUGCCUGGGAAGCACAAGUCUGCCCGAGAUGCCCACGUCCCCGCCCAAAGUCCUGCUUUCCUGACAAUUGAGCUAGGCGGCGUUUUCAACCCACCCACUCCCUAUGUAAACGACCUCAUAUAGUUCGGCUUUUCUUCUCUUCCCCAGAAUAGACCUUUUACAGAUUUGUGAUGCAUAACGACCAUCCAGCCCGUCAGCUUUCUCAUUCCCUUCCAGUCCCUUUCGACUGUACUUCUGCUAUCUUAGUUUCCGAUCGAACAGAAGAUUCUUUCUGCAAUGAAAAAAUAAAUUUGUGAUGAAUUGGCAACACAAAGAAUUUUGAGCUUGGAAUAUUCCUUGCUGUCCCUAACUCUGAUGAUAAAGUUGCCUUCUAACUCCUGAUACAGAUGUCAGUGGCUGUGGUCAACUUCUAUGGCUCUGCUACAUGUCUUCUCAUUCCAGAUUCCAGCCUCAAAAAGUGUGCCUUAUUUGGGACAUCCAAAAAAGAAGAACUCUUGAUGCCUCCUAAAGUCUCUAAAUGUCCAGAAGUGUUCCUCAGAAAGAAUGUGCAUAGGUAACGAGUUUCUCAAUAAAAAGCUUCGUCAUAAAAACUACAUAGAGGACUUAUGCUUCCAGAUUGAUUGCACCGUGGGAAGAUUCAGAGCUCCCUUCUUCUGUAGACACUCAGCUGAACGAGAAAACACAAACAUCAAAAACAGAGAGGGGCAAGUGAGACGAUGGAGAGGGAAGAAAAACGAUCAUUUCCAUACUGUACUGUCCUGGGAAACAAAGUGAAGGUCCCUUCUUUCCAUGGAAAGAAUUGCAGGAACAGGAAGGAAAAAUGGGGCGUAUGUGAGUGAGAGAGGAAGGAAGAACAAGGGCGCUGAAAGAGAGACCUCAUCUUUACAGAUAAUGUAUUAACAUAAAAGGAAAUGUCGCCUUCAUUGUCCUGGAUGCUUCAUGAUUUUGUGGAACUAAACCAGCCAAACAUGCAUGGGAUAGUUGGAUUUAGAAGACAGUUAUUUCCUAAUUUGAACAGAGAAGGAUGACCAGGGAAAUGUGCUAUACAGAUAACACCAGAGAAGGCCUCACAAAGAAUAUGGAAGAGUUGAAGCUCUCUGAAAAAUACGAUUUUAGUCCUAUGAGUUACGUACUAUAUUAUCAUCAUUUCAAUUUUAUGGACAAGGAUAUGAAGUCACAGAAAGGUAAAGUGAAUCGCCCCAAGAAUCCCACAGCUGGUGAGUAGUUUUUGCUUCCCUCAUCUGUGCUUGUCUUGCUUUUAAGAGGAUUACAGGAGAUAAUGCUUGUGUGAUGCUUUCCAUAAUUUACCAAAUAUGCACUUGGAAAAAAGUAAUAUUAUUGGUUAAUAUGGAAGUAAAAUCUUCUACAUCAGAUGAGCUUCUAUCACUGUUCAUUAACCAUUUUACUGAAAGAGACCAUUAGCUCUGGGCCCUUUAUUUGCUGAUUUAAUUGUCUUGGACUACCUGUCUAGAAAAACCACAAACCAAACACAUUCACAGAGACAUGUAUCAUUAAGCCUGGCCAAACCUACAUGAUCCAAAGAACUAGGUAACUGCCAAUGGGUACUUUGCCUUGUAUCAGUACUGUUGCUAAUGUAAUUUGAGAACUGCUUAUGAACAAGUAUGCUGAAAGAGCCAAUAAGGAUUUACAAGUAAGCUGUGCUAUUUCUACCUCCUUUCUUCUUUGUAAAUUCUAAAGAACACAUUUUAUUCUUUGGGAAAUGUUUAAGUAAAUCUUAUUAGGAUUAAACCAUGUUGUAAAUUCAGUGGGGGCACCUGGGUGGCUCAAUCUGUUAAGCAUCUCACUAUUUCAGCUCAGGUCAUGAUCUCACUGUUGGUGAGUUCAAAUCCGAAGUCUGGUUUUGUGCUGGCAGUGCAGAGCCUGCUCGGAAUUCUCUCAAUCCCUCUGUCUCUGCCCCUCCCCUGCUCGUGUUUUCUCUCUCUAUGUGUCUCUCUCUGUCUCUGGAUAAAAUAAUUACCACAGAUUCUAAGGUGGAAUUGAAAAACUUUUCAAAUAAUAUUUGCCAUUGUACCUUCCAAUUAAAUAAUGAGUACCUUUGGAAAGUAUUACCCAUCAGAUGAAAACAAGACCCAACCUAAGAUGUAAAAAUAAAUCCGUACUGGGAGCAAAGAUGCAUUUAAAGUAAAUAAAAACACAAUCAGUAAUAUUUGACUACUAAUAGCCCCUGCUUCUUAUAUAUAACUUUUCAUGCUGGUGAGAAAAAGUGUUUUAUUUUCUUUUAAGUUUUAUUUUCUAAACUACUUCAUAAGGACUAGAAAACCCACAAAAAUUUCAAAAGACAUAGAGCAAUAGCUUCUGUCUAGUCCUCAGUCUUCCCUCAGCCUCCUCUGAGCAUGUCU